rnacentral:piRNA from 1 species
UCCCAAGUGACUCUACCUCGUCUCUGUA